rnacentral:rRNA from 3 species
GUGUGUUCCAGGUAAAUCCGGUUCACUUUAACACUGAGGCGUGAUGACGAGGCACUACGGUGCUGAAGCAACAAAUGCCCUGCUUCCAGGAAAAGCCUCUAAGCAUCAGGUAACAUCAAAUCGUACCCCAAACCGACACAGGUGGUCAGGUAGAGAAUACCAAGGCGCUUGAGAGAACUCGGGUGAAGGAACUAGGCAAAAUGGUGCCGUAACUUCGGGAGAAGGCACGCUGACACGUAGGUGAAGUGAUUUACUCAUGGAGCUGAAGUCAGUCGAAGAUACCAGCUGGCUGCAACUGUUUAUUAAAAACACAGCACUGUGCAAACACGAAAGUGGACGUAUACGGUGUGACGCCUGCCCGGUGCCGGAAGGUUAAUUGAUGGGGUCAGCGCAAGCGAAGCUCCUGAUCGAAGCCCCGGUAAACGGCGGCCGUAACUAUAACGGUCCUAAGGUAGCGAAAUUCCUUGUCGGGUAAGUUCCGACCUGCACGAAUGGCGUAAUGAUGGCCAGGCUGUCUCCACCCGAGACUCAGUGAAAUUGAACUCGCUGUGAAGAUGCAGUGUACCCGCGGCAAGACGGAAAGACCCCGUGAACCUUUACUAUAGCUUGACACUGAACAUUGAGCCUUGAUGUGUAGGAUAGGUGGGAGGCUUUGAAGUGUGGACGCCAGUCUGCAUGGAGCCGGCCUUGAAAUACCACCCUUUAAUGUUUGAUGUUCUAACGUGGACCCGUGAUCCGGGUUGCGGACAGUGUCUGGUGGGUAGUUUGACUGGGGCGGUCUCCUCCUAAAGAGUAACGGAGGAGCACGAAGGUUGGCUAAUCCUGGUCGGACAUCAGGAGGUUAGUGCAAUGGCAUAAGCCAGCUUGACUGCGAGCGUGACGGCGCGAGCAGGUGCGAAAGCAGGUCAUAGUGAUCCGGUGGUUCUGAAUGGAAGGGCCAUCGCUCAACGGAUAAAAGGUACUCCGGGGAUAACAGGCUGAUACCGCCCAAGAGUUCAUAUCGACGGCGGUGUUUGGCACCUCGAUGUCGGCUCAUCACAUCCUGGGGCUGAAGUAGGUCCCAAGGGUAUGGCUGUUCGCCAUUUAAAGUGGUACGCGAGCUGGGUUUAGAACGUCGUGAGACAGUUCGGUCCCUAUCUGCCGUGGGCGCUGGAGAACUGAGGGGGGCUGCUCCUAGUACGAGAGGACCGGAGUGGACGCAUCACUGGUGUUCGGGUUGUCAUGCCAAUGGCACUGCCCGGUAGCUAAAUGCGGAAGAGAUAAGUGCUGAAAGCAUCUAAGCACGAAACUUGCCCCGAGAUGAGUUCUCCCUGAGACUUUAGGUCUCCUGAAGGAACGUUGAAGACGACGACGUUGAUAGGCCGGGUGUGUAAGCGCAGCGAUGCGUUGAGCUAACCGGUACUAAUGAACCGUGAGGCUUAACCUU